GUGCAGCAGUCGAGAAUCCUCCGCAAUGCGCGAAAGCGCGACGGGGUUACCCCGAGUGCCGUCCGCUGAGGACGGCUUUUGCCCAGUGUAGCCAGCUGGGCGAAUAAGGAGAGGGCAAGUCUGGUGUCAGCCGCCGCGGCAAUACCAGCUCUCCGAGUGGUGGGGACGCUUAUUGGGCCUAAAGCAUCCGUAGCCGGUCUGGCAAGUCCCUUGUUAAAUCCAACGAUUCAAUCGUUGGACUGCAAGGGAUACUGCCAGACUAGGGGGCGGGAGAGGCCGACGGUAUUCCCCGGGGUAGGGGUGAAAUCCUA
rnacentral:rRNA from 1 species